rnacentral:pre_miRNA from 1 species
CACAUACUCCCUCCGUUCCGAAUUACUUGUCGCAGGUAUGGAUGUAUCUAGAUGUAUUUUAGUUCUAGAUACAUCCAUUUUUACGACAAGUAAUUUGGAACGGAGGAAGUAUUAU